AACCAGGUUUUUUUAAAAACCAACCAUAUUUAUUAUCCCUGUUUU
rfam:Ovis aries breed Texel chromosome 13, whole genome shotgun sequence.